AGGAUCAUUAUUGAAUACUCGAUGGGUUGUAGCUGGCUYCUMGGAGCAUGUGCACGCCUGUCUUGACUCUAUUCAUCCACCUGUGCACCUAUUGUAGUCUCAUUUGCUAUGUCUUUAUUCACAAACCAUGUAGUAUGUUGCAGAAUGUAUUCAAUGGGCCAUCRUGCCUAUAAAACCUUAUACAACUUUCAGCAACGGAUCUCUUGGCUCUCGCAUCGAUGAAGAACGCAGCGAAAUGCGAUAAGUAAUGUGAAUUGCAGAAUUCAGUGAAUCAUCGAAUCUUUGAACGCACCUUGCGCUCCUUGGUAUUCCGAGGAGCAUGCCUGUUUGAGAGUCAGUAAAUUCUCAACCCCACCAGCUUUUGUGAGUUGGCACUUGGGGAUUGGAUGUGGAGGUUCUGCCGGCCGGUCGGCUCCUCUGAAAUGUAUUAGCGGAACCGUUUGCGAUCCGUCACAGGUGUGAUAAUUAUCUACGCCAGUGGGUUGCUCUCUGUCUGUUCAGCUUCCAACCGUCCUCCGGGACAAACAUAACUGAACCUUUGACCUCAAAUCA
rnacentral:rRNA from 1 species